rnacentral:rRNA from 1 species
UACGUAGGUGGCAAGCGUUGUCCGGAUUUACUGGGCGUAAAGAGCGCGCAGGCGGCUGGUCAAGUCCGAUGUGAAAGCUCCCGGCUUAACUGGGAAACGGCAUCGGAAACUGAUCGGCUUGAAGGUGGGAGAGGGUAGUGGAAUUCCCGGUGUAGUGGUGGAAUGCGUAGAUAUCGGGAGGAACACCAGUGGCGAAGGCGGUUGCCUGGAGCUUUGCUGACGCUGAUGCGCGAAAGCGUGGGGAGCGAUCCGG